UACGUAGGCAGCGAGCGUUGUUCGGAGUUACUGGGCGUAAAGGGUGUGUAGGCGGCUUGUUGCGUCGACCGUGAAAACCCGAGGCUCAACCUCGGGCCUGCAGUGGGUACGGGGCAGACUAGAGUGCGGUAGGGGAGAUUGGAAUUCCUGGUGUAGCGGUGGAAUGCGCAGAUAUCAGGAGGAACACCGAUGGCGAAGGCAGAUCUCUGGGCCGUUACUGACGCUGAGGAGCGAAAGCAUGGGGAGCGAACAGG
rnacentral:rRNA from 1 species